rnacentral:rRNA from 6 species
UGCAUGUCUAAGUACAUGCCGUAUUAAGGCGAAACCGCGAAUGGCUCAUUAAAUCAGUUAUGGUUCCUUGGAUCGUACCUUACUACUUGGAUAACUGUGGCAAUUCUAGAGCUAAUACAUGCAGCAGAGCUCCGACCUUCGGGGACGAGCGCUUUUAUUAGACCAAAACCAAUCGGACCUCGUGUCCGUUCUAUGUGGUGACUCUGUAUAACUUUGGGCUGAUCGCACGGGCUCGUCCCGGCGACGUAUCUUUCAAGUGUCUGCCUUAUCAACUGUCGAUGGUAGGUUACGCGCCUACCAUGGUCGUAACGGGUGACGGGGAAUCAGGGUUCGAUUCCGGAGAGGGAGCCUGAGAAACGGCUACCACAUCCAAGGAAGGCAGCAGGCGCGCAAAUUACCCACUCCCAGAACGGGGAGGUAGUGACGAAAAAUAACAAUACGGGACUCUUUUGAGACCCCGUAAUUGGAAUGAGUACACUCUAAAUCCUUUAACGAGGAUCCAUUGGAGGGCAAGUCUGGUGCCAGCAGCCGCGGUAAUUCCAGCUCCAAUAGCGUAUAUUAAAGUUGUUGCGGUUAAAAAGCUCGUAGUUGGAUCUCAGUUCCAGACGGGUGGUCCGCCUACCGGUGGUUACUGCCUGUUCUGAACAGCCAGCCGGUUUCCUUUGAUGAUCUUCACCGGUUGUCUUGGGUGACCGGCAAGUUUACUUUGAAAAAAUUAGAGUGCUCAAAGCAGGCGUGACGCCUGAAUAAUGGUGCAUGGAAUAAUGGAAUAGGACCUCGGUUCUAUUUUGUUGGUUUUCGGAAUACGAGGUAAUGAUUAAGAGGGACAGACGGGGGCAUUCGUAUUGCGGCGCUAGAGGUGAAA